GGCCACUGCUCCGCAUCCCAGCAGCUCAGCCGUGGCUCAUCCAUGCCAGGAGAGGCUUGGGAAGAUGUUCCAGCGAGCUCUGAUUAGAUCUGCUCCUCCCAGGGCACUUCAGCAGGAUCGCUUUGGAGAGCUUGGUCACGUACGGGGACGUGGGCGCUCCUGUCCUACCGGGGAGGCAAGGGCCUGCUGUGGCUUGGCGCCUGGUCACUGAGCACAGGCCAGACUUUGUGAAACACAUCGAGACGUGCCGGAUUACCGCUCACUGCUAACACAGCGAGUAUUAACAGUGGCGAAGGGACUCACCCCGCAGAACAUACUGAACAUGCUCACCUGGAAUGAAAAUGGAUUAAGCCUUUCCUUCAUUACCAGGGAAACAGUAUUUGUUUCUAAUGAGAAUCUGACAGGUACAGAGCUACUUCCCUCCCUGAUCCGGUGUGACACUUGACAGCAGGUUUUCAUGGCAG